CUUAAAAAUAUUACAAACAGCGUUUCUUCAGGUGCUUUUAGGCAACUGGCAAAGCAACAGAGUAGGCCAUGAUUUUCAAACACACAUUGCCUGUAUAUGAAAAAUACAACUGGUCGUUACUAGGGAGAUUGAAGGUUGGAGGUAAAGGUUGUAUUAAUUAUUCAAGUCCUACAUUUGGAUAACAAACGGGUGGCAACUGAAUGCCGAUUUAAUUAGAUAGAUUUAUUCAACUUAAAAGACUCGCAGCCUUGCACGUCGGCUGAAUAAUGUUAAGUUGUACAAGUACAUGUAAAAAAUUAGAUCGACGAACCGUAAUAAAAAUUAGUUCGAUUCAGUUACGUGUUUACAUGCAUUACAAUUAAUAAAAUCAUUCUUAAAUCUAUUUGUCUUAAAAUUAGGAAUUUGAAACAUUCUUCCUCGCAGGCAUAGUUCUGAAGAGUUCAUUGGAGGCAAUAAGUCAUGUAGUUUAUUAACGAAUAACGUUCUCAGGAUCGUGGACUAUAUUUUUAAAAAGUUUGUUAGUUAAGUUCUGUCUUCUUGCAGCCAAGGUAGUGCGACCCAAUUGACCCAGGGCUUCAUUACACCGAUGAUCUGGCAAUAUUAUUCGACAAUAUUGAUAUGGGCGAUAAUUAAAUUGCCUAAAUUAAAUUCAAUGACAGGCCUAAGAGUAUGUUCUGGAGCGGGUCGAAAGGAAAAAUAGUUCUGCACAUUUGUGAAAACGUUGAUAAUUAUGGACGGCCCAUCCUCGUUUGACGAGGCCACGCAUGACGAGAUCACGCAUGACGAGGCCACGCAUGACGAGGCCACGCAUGA